rnacentral:rRNA from 1 species
UAGCCGUAAACGAUACUCGCUAGGUGUCGGCCACGGUGCGACCGUUGUCGGUGCCGUAGGGAAGCCGUGAAGCGAGCCACCUGGGAAGUACGGCCGCAAGGCUGAAACUUAAAGGAAUUGGCGGGGGAGCACAACAACGGGUGGAGCUUGCGGUUUAAUUGGAUUCAACGCCGGAAAUCUUACCGGGACCGACAGCAACAUGGAAGGCCAAGCUGAAGACUUUGCCGGAUUAGCUGAGAGGUGGUGCAUGGCGUAGUCGUGU